rnacentral:snRNA from 1 species
GUGCUUGCUUCGGAAGCACAUAUACUAAAACUGGAACGAUGCAGAGAUUAGCAUGGCUCCUGUGCAAGGAUGACAUGCAAAUUCAUGAAGCAUUCCAUAUUUUU